AUUAACUUUUCAAUCAUACUUAAUUCACGGCGGAGUUAAACUAAAUUGCGUCUAGAGUUUUAUGCCUUGCAGUAUUCCUAACAAAUAUUAUCGUGAAAUCAAAACAUCGUUUUGAAUUAUGAUAUUUGUAUUUGGCUGCGUCUUUCUAUUAGUGAAUUUAUCGACGCAAGCUUCCAUGAACUUAGUUGAAUCAUCUUGCUCUCAAGAAAAUUGCGAAAUACUCCAAUCUAGUAAAGAAGAACGUUACCCUGUAAACUAUGAAGAAGAAGAUUAUGCAAUGCCACAUUAUCAAGUCAGAAGAAUCAUAAAGAAAUAUAGGCCUGGUGCAAAAAAUUUAUAUAAAAAAGAUUCAGCACUAAAUAAGAAACUUUUGUUUCCAAUAGGUGCUGCUCUCAUCAUAGGAGCGGCAAAUAUCGUUGCUGCUGUCAUAAAGAAAUCCAAAAAAAUGAUUUAAAAGACAAAAAAAAAAUCGGAGUACAAGGCCAAAAUAAAUAUUUUCAAAUGAUAUUAAGUCCUAAGUAGAUUUAUAAUCAUUUUAUUUAAUAAAUUCAGCUGUGACAGAAACAAUAGAAAUAUAUUUUAUAACAAAUUGUCUAAUCAACAUUAUUCCUGUUUUCAUUUGUCAAUAAUGCGACUACACGAUUUGAGAGAACAAAUUCUUAGCCUGAAAACGGUAAUUUGUUAUGAACAUUCUACUAUUAGGGUAACUAUUAUUCGCUGUCAGAUCGUCCAAAUAAAAAAAUUGUAGUUACCUAUUACAAUAGUUUAUUUCGAUUUAUUAUCUCACAAUACCAUGUGAGGAGAUCGAAAAUAUAUUGAAUAUUUCGCGGGUUGAGUAUAGCCAACUCAUUAACUUAUUAAUUUUUCAAGUGUUCGUCGAUUGCGUCCAAUUAUAAAUUUUACGGCGACCAAUGUAUUAAAUUUAAUCUAGUUAAGGAAAUCAAAUGAAGCCGAAGACUUUGAUUAAACGGAAUCAUUCGCUAAUAAAGGUUCAAUAAAAACAAUAUUCUUUAAAGAAGAUCCAAUAAAAAAUGUUGAUCAAAUGGCUGGUUUGUGUAAUAUCGAUUUUGGUGCCAGCAAUCCUAACAACACAAGACUUGGUACCAUGGUCAAAAUCAUUACGAACUGAAGAAAUAAGAAAUUGGCCACCUCUUAUUGUACUGCUAUCGAAUAACAAAUACAACACUAGAGGAUGGGAUCAAAGGUCACACGUCAUCGACAAUCCAAGUGAAAAAAAGCUUAGGUUAAAAAAGAACAGAGGCUAUACGAAAAAAGGAAAAUAUAGAAAACAAGAAAAUCAUCCAGUCGAAAUAGUGAUCGAGGCUGGUAGAGCGAAAGAUAGGAAGGCAUUGGAAAAAAUAUUAUUAGUAUAAUAUAUAAAAAAAAAAAUAACAUUCGCAAUUAGGUUUAUUAAAACUUCUUAUUUAAUAAGCAAUGACUAUUAUUAAAUGGAUUUUCAUUUUUUAGUUUAAAUGUAAAGAUUAUAAACUUUAUCACUUUACUGUACCUAUUUUUCUAUUUAUUUAUUUUUUUGCUGAUAUCGUGGAAUAAUGUACUUCACAAAGUAUUAGCUAUCUGCUAAGAAUAAGUCUUAAACGACAAUUUGUUUUGGUUAACAUAACUAUAUGUCUUGUUCUCUGUAUAUCACAUGACCAUUGACCAUAAUGGAAGGAACAAAAAUGCUGUAACAUUCAAAGAUUGAUUUAGGACCUCAGAGAUUCUAUUUUGUGUUAUCCUUAGGGUUCUUGAUAAUGUGCGUUUAUUUAAAAAAAAAAAUUGCCAAACCCCUGUUGUUAUUGGAGCUAACGAUAACGAUUUGAAACAUUGGUGUGGAUCAAUAGACACUGGAUAUCAAAAUACAUGCAGUGUUAACGGCCUGAAGUCUAAACAGUUCCAUUACAUUCUAUCCAAUUAACUUCACAUAUAUAUAAACAACUAUAUCUUUCACAAAUGUUAAAUUGUUUGGGCGCUUCAUUCAACACGGGUAUGGUGCAAGCGGAAGAAAUAUAAUGAACACAAAACUGAUUAUUCUUGGUUGUGUAGCACUUUUGUUUCAACUUUCACUUCAGGCUGGACGGAAAAAAUGUCAUGACAAAAAUUGCAUGAAACGCAAACAGAAUAAUGACAAUGAUAUUGACGACACGAAAAACGCUGAUUAUUUUAAUAAAAAAGGAAUUGCCCCGAUGAUAAUGAUAUAUCCAAUAGGCGGCUUGAAGCGGGAAGAAAACAAAAAGUUAUCACAAGGAAAGAAAAAACUAAUUUUACCAUUCUUAAUAGCUCGUCUGCUGGAAAGGGCAUUAAUUGCUUCUUCAAUAAUGAAUAUGGGAAAAGGCAGGAAAUGAGAAAUGUUACUGAAGAUUAAUCACACUUUUAGACUGUAGUAAAUAACUUACAAGUCGAAAGUCUAAAAUAAAUUUAUGUUUUGAUAUUAUCUCAUUUUUCACAUUUUGUUGUUUCAUAAAAUAAUAUUUUUUCUUUUCAUCUGA